rnacentral:rRNA from 1 species
GAUGAACGCUGGCGGCGUGCCUAAUACAUGCAAGUCGAGCGAACAGAUAAGGAGCUUGCUCCUUUGACGUUAGCGGCGGACGGGUGAGUAACACGUGGAUAACCUACCUAUAAGACUGGGAUAACUUCGGGAAACCGGAGCUAAUACCGGAUAACAUAUUGAACCGCAUGGUUCAAUAGUGAAAGGCGGCUUUGCUGUCACUUAUAGAUGGAUCCGCGCCGUAUUAGCUAGUUGGUAAGGUAACGGCUUACCAAGGCAACGCUACGUAGCCGACCUGAGAGUGUGAUCGGCCACACUGGAACUGAAACACGGUCCAGACUCCUACGGGAGGCAGCAGUAGGGAAUCUUCCGCAAUGGGCGAAAGCCUGACGGAGCAACGCCGCGUGAGUGAUGAAGGUCUUCGGAUCGUAAAACUCUGUUAUCAGGGAAGAACAAAUGUGGAAGUAACUGUGCACAUCGUGACGGUACCGGAUCAGAAAGCCACGGCUAACUACGUG